UACGUAGGUGGCAAGCGUUGUCCGGAUUUAUUGGGCGUAAAGCGAGCGCAGGCGGUUCCUUAAGUCUGAUGUGAAAGCCCACGGCUCAACCGUGGAAGGUCAUUGGAAACUGGGAGACUUGAGUGCAGAAGAGGAGAGUGGAAUUCCAUGUGUAGCGGUGAAAUGCGCAGAGAUAUGGAGGAACACCAGUGGCGAAGGCGGCUCUCUGGUCUGUAACUGACGCUGAUGUGCGAAAGCGUGGGGAUCAAACA
rnacentral:rRNA from 1 species